UGAAGUUGCUUAUUAGCUUAUGAAGCUUUUGGGCUGAGAGGAUGGGAUUUUCUAGAUAUAGGGUCAUGUGAUCUGCAAACAAAGAUAAUUUGACUUCUUCUCUUCCUAUUUGAAUAUGCUUUGUUUCUUUCUCUUGCCUGAUUGCUCUGGCCAUAAAUUUUAAUGCUAUGUUGAAUAGAAGUGGUGAGAGAGGGCAUCCUUGUCUUGUGCCAGUUUUCAAGUGUAAGGGUUAACUAGAUUGUUUAUAAAGCUUUGCACAGACUCCUCACGAUCUUCAUUUCCUUGUAUAAGUUGAGAGCAUUCGGUGCACAGAGUGAGCUCAACUCACCUUGAACCCAGAUCUGGGAACCUGGCCAGUUCCCGUGGUCCACUUUUUAGUAAAGCAAUUCAAGGACGCAGUUGCAUAAUGAAGACGGAGUCAACAUAUCUUAAACUGUAAAUAAGCUUCUUUCUUUAGCACAAUAUAAAAGAAAUGAACUUCUUUUUUUAGCACAGUAUAAAAGAUAGUCCAGUGUUAAUACAGUAUAAAGAAGAACAGUCUAGUGUUAUGUUACAGGAGAGAGCUUAUUACUAAGAGUCGACAGAAGGCUUGGCUUUGCAGUUACCCCUGCUGAUUUCUUUGCCGGACACCCGUGCUGAUCUUUGUUGCCGGAUGCCCGUGCUGAUCUUUGCCGGUGUAUACCCGUGCUGAUUUCUUUCCGGUGUAUGCCCGUGAUGAUUCCUUUCUGAUUUAUUUGCCGGUGUUGCUGUGAGGCCUCCAGAUUGACUUUGCGAUUACCCGUGCUGAUUCUUAUGCCGGUGUUGCUCUAAUUACCCGUGCUGCCGGUGUUGCUGUUAAGUGGACAGAAGGCUUCCAGAUUGACCUUGCGAUUACCCGUGCUGAUUCUUAUGCCGGUGUUGAUGUGGAUGGUAAUGUAAAUAUAUAUAUAUAUAGUAAAUAAAUCUCUUUUUCUUAUAUACUCUCGACUGGUGUUUUUCCUCCCCAUGAACCUGCCUGUUAAAACAAAUCCAAGCUUGGUCUCUUUGGUAUUUGUCUUGUACCAAAACAGGAGCCCACCUCCCAAGGUGUC
rnacentral:lncRNA from 1 species